CUGCUACACCGAGGCUCCCGCUGAUUACUACACCGAAGCGGCAAAGUACUACUCUGCCCCGAUCUACACAACCAUAACUGAGGCGGCCAAGUAUUACGCAGUCCCGACUUGCUACACCAAAGCUGCUCUUUCGUACUACGUUGAACAGGAAUACUACAUUGAUGCUCCAGUUCACUACACCACGACCUACGCUACACCGCAGCCCACAAGUACUACACCGAAGAAGCCGCCUACAACAACGUAUGCUGCCUAGUUUACUACACCGAGGCUCCCAAGUACUACAUCACUAAGGCACCGGAUUUCUACACGUCUAUGUGUGCUACCCCUGCCUAGUACACCGAGGCCCCGCAUUACUACAACACUGAAGCGCUCAAGUACUACACUACAACCUGGCUUCCCCGAGCUACUACACCUACGUCCCGAAGUAUUACUGUGCGUUAAAGGAGUCUUCAAAAAAAGGACCACCAAUUGCUUUCUUCAUCGUGUAACCGAUUCGCAAUCAUGGUCAACUAUGGCGUCGUGCUCCUGUUGGGCGUUGUAUAGUUGAUGGCUGGGUUGAUUGCUGGUGUAGCGAUGUCUCCUUGGUAUGGCGGAAAUCAAACCGCAACGUCGCCGCCUUCCUACUAAACUUACGCAACGACCGGUUCCUGCCCUGAGGUCUUCCAGUACUACACCACCAAAGCACCGGAGUUUUAUACCACAACUUACGCUGCCCCGAUUCACUACACUGAUGCCCUGAAGUAUUACUCUGCUCUGAGUUACUACACCAUCUAGGCGAUGGAUGACACCACACGACUACAUAUACUGCCUAUCCUACUACACCGAGGCUUCUAAACUGCUACACCGAGGCUUCCGCUGAUUUCUACACCAAGACAGUCGAAUACUACACCGAAGCGGCAAAGUACUACUCUGCCCCGAUCUACACAACCACAACUGAGGCGGACAAGUAUUACGCAGUUCCGACUUGCUACACCAAAGCUGCUCUUUCGUACUACGUUUACACUGAUGCUCCAGUUCACUACACCACGGCCUACGCUACACCGCAGCCCCCAAGUACUACACCGAAGAAGCCGCUUAUUACACAACUACGUACGCUGCCUAGUUCACUACAUCGACGAAUUUAAGUAUUGCCCUGCUCCAAACUACCAAACUUAAGUUCAUAUGUAUUUUGCAAUUUUCAUUACUAUAUCACCACUGCUCCGACCUAAACACCUAAGUUCUGAAGUAUUUCUCUGUAUUUGUGAAAGAUUGCUGAAAUACAAGAUUAAUUGAUAAA